AUCCAGUUACAUUGGAUCUGACACCUUCACACCAAUGCAUAUAAAAAUAAAGUUAAAUAGACCAUAAAAAAUUUAAAAAAAAAUCUUUGAAACUAAAAGAAUAGAGAGAAAAAAAGCAGAAAUGAUUAACAAGCCCCAAGAAGGCUACAUUUUAGAGAGCGGGUCUCUGCAGCUGAAGCCUCGUCAGAAUGGCUAUGUUCUUUGCAGAGAAAUAGUCAGAAAAACCCAAAUUUUGCAUCCCUGUUCCCCAUUACCUCUGCCCACUGGGCCUCAAUGGUACCAUACAUGUAGACCAGUGGCAAAAGCCCCACAUGCCAUGUGGAGAUAGGCCAGUAAUUUUCCAGGAGACUUUAAAAAUAGAGCUGUAUAAUACAUAUUUUUACAAGCAAGAAGCUGUUGUCAAGGUUUUUUCUGUUUUACACAUCAUAGUUCAUAGAUUAUACAAAGGAACCAUCAAAAGAAAAAUAAAUGCAAAUUUUCCCCUUAAAAAAAAUAGAACACCAGUUACUAGGGUAAAUAACAACUAGGUUGAGUGUUUUCCCCCCUGGAAAAAGAUGGGAAAAAGCCAGUUUUUCCCAGCAUGGGUAGACAUUAUAAAGCAGGAUGUGGCAUUUUCAUUUCAUGAUAGUGAUUCUGGAAGCUUAUUUACACUGUAGGUUCUGAGCUGGCAGUGGACAGUCUCCACUCUUCCUGGCAGUCCUUGUAGUUGUGGGUUGUUCCCACUCAGCCAGAGCAGCACCAGUGCAAGGGGAAUGAAGAGGACCCAGCUGAAAAACUGUGACUCGGUAUUCUUAGUUUAUUGGUUUAUGGCUUGUGGGCAGCUGGCUGGGGCCAGCAACACCAGAGGCCCUGCGUGUAUCUCCCUCUCCCCAUCAGCUAAUUCCAUGCUUGGCAGGUCCCCUACCUGAAAGCAGUGUAUAGAGCAUAUAGGGAUAGGAUACAGCGGGUGUCCCAGGAAAAUUCAACUCUUCCCACUAACACUGGUUUCAUGUCUGUUGUGUUAGAACUCACAGGGAAGAAAUGAGUUUGGCCCCUACUACCUAGCCCAAGAACCAGCCUGGGUACCCAUGUACUAUUGGGAGGGGCAACAGAGAGCAGGACAGAAGACUGCUCUAUCAGGAAAGGCGGAGAAGGAGGUAAGGAAGCCCUGAGGCUGCCAUCCUUUCUCCAGGCAGCCUAGAUACUGAAGGCAAUGACACAGAGCCAGAAAGCCCUCUAUUUCUUACAUUCAUGGUUUAAUACUAGCCAAUGUGUGAUGAUGCCUUAGCCAAAUAAAUAGAGGGGCCACUGGAGAGGACAAGAAAGUAAUGAACUCACUCAGUAUUCCAUAAAGAUCCUACCACUUUGUACCACUGGGCAAGAAAAGUAAAAUAAAAAUAAAAUCCAGGCAGAAGCAAAGACAUCAGCCCUAUACCUGCUGAAUGAAUCUUCAGGAUUCUGCCUUUUUGGAGCAGAUAGGAGAACUGUCCUGUCUGUUCCUUUUAGCACCUCGUUUGGAGUGAACCUAUGCUGGAAAGACAGUCCCCAGCCCUGCAGUAUUCUGUUGUCCCAUAGGGCACCUGGGACUGUGGGGUUGGGACAUUUGGAUGUCACUUAGCAUGUAUAAGCAGGUAAAGACAGAUGGAAUUAACCAGGUAGGAAUUCAUCUGUCCAGUGGGACCUUCUCAUGAGCACUGUUUCUUGAAGAGAGUUUUGAGCAGAGCUCUUUGGCCAAUCAGCCCUUUUCCCCAUCUCAUUUCAGUUCAGGCUGCAACCACAGACACAUUGGGGAAUAACACCUCUCUCAGUCAGGAUGGGCUUCUGUCUAGGAGAUGAGUUUAAACUUGGGACUAAAAAGUGGCUAUAUUUCUGCCUUUCCUAGCUUUGCUACCAACUUCUUCCUCUGUCUCUGUCCUGUCUCUCCUCAUCUUGACUGCCCCCAGGAGUACAAACAUUGUAUCACAUUGGUUUUUGUUUAACUCAAGAAGCAGUCUUUGCACCAGUGUAGGCUUGAUUCUGCAGUCCCUAAACUGACAAACUGCAUUUUCUCCUGCUGACUUCAGCCAGCAGGGAAAUGAGAUUGACCCUUUCUCUCCCAGGGUACCACAGGGACACAUGCUGGGUAGCCCGAGCAUGACACCAGUACUUCUAGAAGGACAGAAAGAAUACUUUGGGUUGGAUAAUCUGAAGGAUGCUGGGCAGAGGGUCAGGGCUGAAGCUUCAAGCAGCAGAAUUUCCAACUCAAGUUUGAGGUGACUAAAGGUAUUCCUGCCACCAGAAUGCUGCUUUUUUCCCUCUUCUGUUUCCUACAGGUGUAAGCCCUGUAACCCACCUUGCCAGCUUUCCCUUUUCUUUCAAAGCAGGAGCAUUUGGCAGGUAGGUUAGGGUCCUGAGGUGCUCUGGCCACAGGUGCCAUCUGUGUAUCCAACUUGUGUGACCAAAGGGAACCACCCAGAUGUGGUCCAGGGGAAUCUCUGUCAUCUGCCCACAGGCCUCCUUAUUUCAGCAGGGAGAUGUCAUCAGCAAAGUCAUCAUGCUGAUGGCGCAGGCAGCGUAGGCAGCGCCACUGACAUACCAUGAGGCAGAGUGGCAACAUGAAGAGGGCGCAGAUAGCAGCCAUGACAUAGGCUAUGGUCAUAAGCGUUGACUCAUCUGUCUGUGGAAUGUUGUAGCCACAGUCUUCCAUGUCUGGUGUAACAAAAGGACCUUCCACUGCUGCUGUCCUGAACUCAUCGUGCACUGGAGAAAAAGUGGAGAUGAACCAGUAGCUCUUAAUGUCAUAGAGCAGUUGGGUUAUACAAUUAAAACAGCUUCCUGACAAGGACCCCUUGGGAUCCACCCAAGUGAGUCUGUGCAGAGCCCUUCCUAGAAGGGGAGCCAGUGCUGGGGGGGGGGGGGGGGGGGGAGGUCUGUUUCUCCUUCCAGGACCCUGGAAACUGCAAGGCUUCCUCAUUUUCCCUUCCAGUAGAAGUGAUACCAAAAAGUCAACAGGUCUGAAUUGACCAAAAUCCAGCCCCUUACACAAGUAGCCGACUUACCUGUCACCAUGAAAGCCCAAUCACAAAGUCCUGCCAACUUUCCGUGGCAGCAUUUAGCCUCACUGUGGGCAGCCAGCUACCCUUGGAGCUAGGGUUUCCAAGUACCUGCAAAGCUCUGGCUGUUAUAGGUUUCCACCAGUGCUUUCCCCGUCAGGCAGGGUUCACCAGAGCAAGCCUUGGCCCUAGCUUUCACACAGUUGACUAGCCAGAGGCAACUAUUACUACCUCCAAACAGAAAGGGACCUGGGCAUCCUAGCUGCUGUCAGGGAGAACAUGACCAGACCGACCCCACACCCUCCUCACUGGUGAGCUCACCGUGGCAAGCACUGACAGCAAAGCCAAUUCGCUUCUGGGCACGAUCAAAGACCACAUAGAAGCCUUCCAUGAUGACAGCUCCCAUAACAGUGCCUGUAGAUGACUGUGAGAUGGCGAACUUGUAACAGUCGUCUUGGGAUGUGGCCACAUCCUCCACAGGCCGCAGGUAUUGCUAGGGAUAAAUGGCUACAGGGUGAGAGCAUGUCUCCUUAUUUCAUCCUCCCACCUCUCUCUGCCUCCUAGCCAUCUGCACUCAAGCUCUUCCCCAAGCCCUGAGAUGUUGAAUUUUCCAAGACCCCGUUAGCACUAGACAUUCAUUUUGCCUUUCAAGUUGUAGGAAGCCAUAUCUGUUUACACACUCUGUCUUCUUGGCAUCCCACUGCCUUAGCUUGGGGACAUACCUGAGGAAGAAUGGUGAUGCGGAAGGACUGAUUGGUGACCUCACCCAUGAGGUAAAGUGAGAUGACUGGGAAAAUGUUCCAAGGGGUAGUGCCUGCUUGCCAGCACACCAGCUGCUCCCCUAGCCAAAAGCCAUCCGGGAACUUCUCAGUCUAUUGACAAGAGAAGAAUGUGAGGAGUCAGCCUGUCUCACCACCUCUGUGUUCACAAUUGCAGUGACAGUGAAGGUACCAACCACUCUAUGCUUUUCUAGGGGAAUUUCUACAGUGGCGAAGGUAAACUGGACUAGGGAUCGGGAGAAGAAAGUGGGACACUGGGCUCAUAAAUUUGUGCUAGGGCUACUGAGCUUAGCAGCUCACACUUCCUGUGGGCUCAGAAUUUGGAAGGUCAAGGCAUGAAGAUGUCAAGUUCAAGGCCAACCUGCAUCACAUUCAUGAUCCUGUCUCACAAAGAGGAGGAAGGGGAGAAGGAAGAAGAAGGUACCAGCUGAACCAGCAGACCGCCAGUUUCCAAGCGCUCUGAGUGGAAGGCCCUACAGACAUCUUUGGCGCUUGCUGAGGAGUGUGACUGUCCCUGACUUGUGACACCAUUGUGUCCUUACUGCACUGACCGAGGAGGCUGCCUUGAUGGACUUGACUGCAGCUUCAAACACUUUCUUAGGCAAACGAAGGUUGGUGGUGCCGCUGUCCACGAUGCUCUUGUCAUAGUUGUACUGGGAAGGAGAGCAAAGGGUCAGAAGAGCUUUUCUGAGGAGGAAUUGAGAGGGGUGAAUCUGAAAGCUAGGCGUCCUGCUAGGGUUGGCAUCUCAGCUUUGCAUACCUCCUUGGGCAAGUUACUUAACCUCUGUGUACCUGUUUCCUUGUCUCUAAAUUGAAGAUAAAAACAGUACCUACCUCAAAGGUUUAUCAUAAAGGAUUAACUAAAUCAACACGCUGGAAGCACUAAGUAGUUCCUAGCAGAUCCCAUGCACUUGGUUAAGUAUUGACUUCAUUACCUUGUGUGGGUAGGUGUUCUCCAAAACUAAACAGAAUGCCUUGUGUGGUGUUUGUAACUUCCUCCAGUACUUUUAUGUAGUUAGUCUCACUUAACGUACAUAGUAAUGUAGAGAAGGUUGGCUCACCAUGCAUGAAGCCCUGGGUUUAAGCGCUAGUACUGCAUGGUGGUGUAUACUUGUAGAGCACUUGAGUCAGAGACAAGGGACCAGGAGUUAAAGGUCAUCUUUAGCUACAUAGCAAGUCUGAGGCCAGCAUGUGCUGCAUGAGACCCUACCUCAAAAAGCCAGAAAAAUGGGCCAUUGAUAUCUCAGCAGAAAAGGAUGCCUGCUACCAAACAUGACCGAGUUCAAUCCUAGGAAGACCCGUAUGGUGGGAGAGCGGGUUACUGGAAAUUGUCCUCUAACCUCCACACACAAGCUGUGGCACAUGUGCCCCUGCCCCCCCCCCCCAAGUAUUUUAAAAAGAAUCUAGGGAAUGCGACCCCAAAUGCUGGCAUUUGGAGUAUAUGAAACAUAGGCACUAACACUUUGGGGUUUUUUUGUUUUUUGUUUGUUUGUUUUGUUUUUAACCUCUGCUUCAUAGACAAGGAGACUGACACCCAGGAGUUAGGAGCCUAAAGGCACUUAUAACAAACACCAGGGCUAGAGUUGGGAGCUGUCCUACCGUACUGGCCCGAGGCCAUGACAGGCAGUGACUAGAGUCCAGACAGGAACUAGUUCCAUGGUUUCAUUCCUGUACUGUAUGUAAGCUACUUGGUCCAGGCUCUGUCCCUUUACCUCAGGGAUUGCUGUGUGAUUUCUAAGCUUUUGACUUGGUCCAGUCCUGACAGGUCCUGUGCCUCCACCCUUUCCUCCCAACCUUUUGACUCUCACGUUGUGUGGCUAAGCCCUUUCCUCUCCCUUGAAACCCCUUCCGUUUUUUACCUCCUUGCAGUCCAUUUUCAGAUCUUGACCAUUGAUCUCCACGCGUACAAUGAUCACUUCAUAAUACCACUCCCGCCUGAUGGGUGUGUACCAGAGACUGCCUGUGUAUAGUGAGUGGUCGAUACCGCCAAUGAUCUAAGAGAAAAAGAGGUGGAUACCUAUGUCCUAGUACAGGAGGAGAGUGGGUCACCCAAAACCGAGACGUAAGAUCAGCCAUUUCUCAGGGUGCCAAGAUUCUCUGCACAUCACCCUUUCUUUCUUCCUUUCUAAUCCCAUCAUGUCCUGUGCAUAGUAAUUUUUAGUUUAAGUGGGUUCAGGAUUAUUUGUAUCAAAAUCCCAUAGUCCUUGACAGAGUACUUAAACCUAAGUUAGCACAAUAAAUGUGGAAUGGAUUGAUUAUAUGCUGCUUUCAUAAGUUUUAUUUUCUUUGCUUGUUGGAGAAUCACUCAUUUCUGUCCUGAUUAAUAAAUAAAUGGGCUUGAAUGAGUCUGGUGGCAUACACCUGUAAUUCAGCACUUGGAAAUUGGAAGGAGGGGGAUGCUGCAAAUCUUAGGUCAGCCUGGUCUACAUAGUGUGCUCUGGGCCAGCUGAGCUACAGGCUUAACAAGCUCAAAUUCCUUGCAUACCUGACUAUCAGACAACAAUCCUAACAGGUCUAAUUUUUGUUUCCUUUGAAAUGUACCUAAUCACUUUCCAUGAGUGAUUCUGCUCCUUUCAAGAAAAGCAGGGAAGAGACAACUGGGAGAAGGAAAGGAGGGAAGUAAGAUUAGAGUAUAAAGGGGUUUCUUGAUCCUGGCCCUGAGGGAGAGGACACACUCACCAUGCUGCCUCCCACUGAGGCUAGUGCCUCAGUCUGGUUGAAGGGAAAGCCAGUGCCACAGAGCUGCAGGGAAAACACAUUGGGAAUGUGGGUCUGCUUCACCAGUGAGUCAAAGAAGGGCUCCAGGGAGUCGUCGGGCUGUGGCAGAAAGACAGGAGUAAAUCCUUGUGCAGGGGCCUAACAGACAGAGGUCAGCUUCCUGCCUAUACUCAGGGACAAAGUCAAAACUUAGGGAUAUUCCUCAGGAAAGAUCAACUGAAGGUACUAAGAUCUGGCUGAGCAAGGGUAAGAGACAUUGCAGUGCAAAUAGACAAUUUUCAUCCAUCCCCAUAUGGUUAACAAUUUCAUAUUUGGAGAUAGCAUCCUGUACCUAUCAUGGCUGCUCCCAUGACAGUCCCACCCCCUGCCUUGUUUUCAGCCCUUUAGACAAACUGUUCCUCUUCCUUUAUGGCACGUGUAUGAGUGUGCACAUACAUGUAGAAACCAAAGGACAACCUUGAACAUUGUUCCUCAGAAUCUGUGUACCUGUUAAAGAUAUGUAUUGUGUGUGCACUGGUAUGUGCACCACAGCAUGGGUGUAAAGAUGAGAGGACAAUGGGCAGGAAUCAGUUUGUUCCUUCUGCCACAUGGGUCUCAGGCUUGGUGGUAAGGGUUCUUACCCACCAAGCCACCUCACCAGCCCUGACUUGUUUUAAAAUUUAUUGUUUUUAUGGUUAUGGAUAUUUUGCCUGCCUGUAUGCCUAUGCACUAUGCACCAUGCAUGUGCUUAGUGCCUGUGGAGACCAGAAGAAAGCAUUGGAUCCCCUGGAACUGGAGUUAACAGGUGGUUGUGAGCUGCUAUGUGGGUUCUAGAAAUCAAACCUGAGUCCCUUGGAAGAGCAGCAAGUACUCUUAGCAAUUGAGCUCUCUCUCCAGCUGCAUCCUAUCUUGGUUUCUAAGGUGGGGUCUCUCAUUGGCUGGGAACUUGUCUAGUAGGCUACAUUAAAUGGCCAGCAAGCCCCAGGAUUUACUUGACUCUGCCUUCGCAGAGUUGGGAUUACAAGCAUGCACUAUUACAUCCAGUUACUUUGAAAAUGUAGGUUGUGGGGAUUAAGUUCUUAUGACUGCUAGCUAAGCACUAUACUCACUAAGCCAUCUCUCCAGUGCCAUGUUUACCCUUUCAGUUCUUUCUUCCCCCUUCUCUCGACUCCUUUCUUGUGUGGCAUGCAGUGAACAGAGUACAGGCAACAGUGUAUAGGUCCAGGCAUGGUUCUCACCCUGGCAAUCUCAGCAUAGGCCAGCCCUAGGAUGCCCUCCCAGUUGGAACCAUUGAUGAAGAACUUGUCCGAUUCAGUGAUGGCAGCGAUGUUGGCACGCACAGUGACGUUGGGGCCAUGAGGGAUGCUCACCAGGUCAGUGCCCAGCUCCCCCUCCCACUUGCCCUGGGUGUAGGGCACAUACACACCCUUUCGGAGGUCUCGGUAUGUGCUGGACCUGUAAAAAGAGAGAUCUGUGUCUGCAAAGCUACAAUGGGUAUGUGUCAUCAAAUAUAUUCCCAAAUGUCCCCUUACCCUACCCACAGCAUUCUAGAAUCUGCUCAGCAGAACAGCCCUAGACAUAUUACCCAGAACAGAAUGUAAGGCAGCUCUGCAGACAGAUGAGCAAGCUGUAGCUGGGGCUUGCUCUUCUGAUUCCAUAGUUGAUAUUGUUGGACCUGAAGCUCAGGCCUAUGAAGAACAAAAUGAGCUUUGUGCAUUGUGCCUGCGGCUGCUGCAAAGACAACUAUUGGACAUCUCCCCCACCCUAGUUCCAGCAUGCUCCCAGAGAAAAGGACCAUUGACUCUCUUGCUGCCUUGGAGCCCAGCGGUACCAUCUGCACCACGGAGAAAGAACCAGGCAGUGUGACUGGAAGCCAUGUAACAACUUCUAGAGAAGAUCUGAACAAGCAUCCCAGCAGAGCAGGAUGGACACCACAAGAGGACUUGUACUCAUUGCUGUGGGAUGCCUCACCUGUGUUUAACCACAUUGCUAACCAGGGCUGGGCAGUGAUGGGACUGGAUGAAGACCUGGAAUGAACUAUCCUUCCACUGAGCUUACCCACACUCCUUCCCCAACUGUGUUCUUAGGGAAAAAGGAAACAGAACAGCAGUCUGUACUUUCCUACAGGUCCAAGGUGAGGCCAUACCUUUCUCACGUCGUCACAGACAUGUCUCAAGCCUCCCACAUCACUCUUCACUGUCUCUCUUACCUCGUACCACUCUAGCCUACCUGCUACACCAAGUGGAACCCAGCUGGUGGCACUGAGGAUGGCACCAAAAGAGGCGAUUCAGUGGGGGCCAUGAAAGAUUCUUUCCUUUGUAUUUUUUGGCUUCUUAAAACUCAAAGAGUAAGGUUUUGCUUAUGUGGUAUAUGUGCACAAAUGUGCACAGAUGAAUAGGGGUGUCUUCUGUUGCUCUCCAUUUUAUUUUUUGAGACAGGAUCUCUCUGAGCCUGAAGUUGGCUGUUUCAGCGGGGCUGGCCAGAAUGGUCCCAGAUCUGCCCAUCUCAACCUGCCAUUGCCUUCGUUAGAGGCACACGCAGUCUUGUGUGGCUUUUAUGUGAGUGCAGCCCUCUUGCUUUCAGUAAGUUCUUAGUCACUGUGCCAUCUCCCCAGCCCCUUUUUGGCUUAUUUUUUUGAGAGUUGCUAUAGAGCCUACAUUGGUCUCAGCAAUCCUCCAAAUGCUGGGAUUACUGGUAUGUGCCAUCAUGCCCAGCUCCUUUACAUGCUUAAAUCAUGCAUAACUACCCACAGUGGCCCUAGAUGAGAACAUGGUGAAAGACACUAACCACUGUAACCCGUUCAGCCUUCUAAACUGUAAGCUAAGCCCUCUUUUUUGUUUGUUUUUUGAGACAGGGUUUCUCUGUGUAGCUCUGGCUGUCCUGGAACUCACUUUGUAGAUCAGGCUGCCUUGAAAU